rnacentral:lncRNA from 1 species
ACAGAGGCACCCAAAGAAAGAAGAAGACAUUCACUAGCUAGCAAAGCAAAAGAAACAACAAAUAUAUUUAAAGGAAAAGGAAAUGGUGGAAGCUAGUAGCUACAACUGGUACAUCACCAUUCAUACCUCUUUGGCUUCUUCCUUCUCUACUUCCUCUUCUUGCCUGUUCCUAGAUCUCUCCCUCAUAUCGAUCCCCUUCACCAAGUCUUUUCAUUGCAUCUUAUACUAUGUGCUAUGAUAUAUUUAUAUGUGUGUGUGUAUAUAUAUGUGUGUGUGUAUGUAAUCCCAGCAAUGGUUCUUGCUUUGUCCUUUUAUCUGUAUCUAAACACCUCUUUUUAUUUAUUAAUCUUAUUAAUAUACAGCUAUAUGAAUUCAAGGAUUUCAAUGGCUCCUUCCUUCAUAAACAAGAAUUAAGCAUCCUAUGUACAUUCAUGUCAAUCGCAAUUUGACAUACAUUCUGCGCACACAUUUUCUUCUUGUGUUUUUCAGUAUUUCUGCAUAAUGUUAAACUCUGAAACAAGAACCGAGAAAUUACUUUGUCGUUGUUCCUGAGGACAAGCCAACUGGUGUAUUUUCUAUAGCUUGCUAGCUGCCCAAGAUGCUUAUAUAGAUCGUACUGUAAGUUGUUAACCAUGGUACAAGCGUGACCAAGGACUCCAAUAUGGUAAGCAAAACACGAUGUGAAAACUUACUUUUUUGACAAAUUGACAUUCUAAUCUACUUGGAUUUAUAGGGAGAGGGUUCAAAC